UACGUAGGGAGCGAGCGUUGUCCGGAUUUAUUGGGUUUAAAGGGUGCGUAGGCGGCCUAUUAAGUCAGGGGUGAAAGACGGUAGCUUAACUAUCGCAGUGCCUUUGAUACUGAUAGGCUUGAAUGUACUUGAGGUAGGCGGAAUGUGACAAGUAGCGGUGAAAUGCAUAGAUAUGUCACAGAACACCAAUUGCGAAGGCAGCUUACUAAAGUAUGAUUGACGCUGAGGCACGAAAGCGUGGGGAUCAAACAGG
rnacentral:rRNA from 1 species